GCCGACAAGUCGAAGAAUCGAGUUCCGGAAGGAGCGAGCUAUCCCGCCUCGGCUACAGGACAUCAAUACGUGACAUUUGGGUGCGAUAGCCAACGAUUCUCGCCGACUAUCAUCCUGCUCGAGUUACCAUGGUUAUUGGUAUCACGGCUACGCCAUUUGGGAAGCAACUCAGGAAUAUGUAAAUGUUGAGUUCAAAGCGACGGUUGAUAGCAUCUAUAUCAGGUGUGUAUGUUUCGUACUAGAUUACACUCGCGAUCUUAAGUUUAUUUUUGAAGAGUUGAGUUCUUGGAUUUUUGAUUUUGUUGCAUUUGUUUUCAAGAAUUAUAAGCUAGGUUAGGUUGAUUGUUGCAUUGCCUGAAGCUUUGGGAGGUUCGACGGAUGAAUGAAUCCAUUACGAAUCGCAUGUUUUUCAGAGGAAUCAUAGUUACUUGAUGAUUAAUCAGAUUCAAUGAUUUGCGACAUUACUGAAGAUUCUUCCAUUAUAUGUUAUUGUGUGUAUUUGUUGUAGUGGAUGAAUGUUACCAGAUGGGAGAUGCGGCGAAACCAUUUGGUAGAACUCUUUGAUUUCUUUUGCAGGCGUGUCAUACUGCUCAAGCCAGUCCGGAAGAGGCAGAACAAGUGAUUCAUUGAUGCAUUCAGAUGAUUAGCACAGGCCAGCAAAAACCGAGACAAAACCAUUAGAAAUUUUCUAUGAGAAGGAGCAAAUAAUGAAGGGGGUAGCUACCUAGUGAAUUUGGCAAAAGUCAUUGCUCCUUUGUUCUUGGGAUGUCUCAGCAUCGGCAACGUUGGAAAGAAAAAUGCUGCUAUUUCAGUGGCUUUGGCAUUACACAUAAAAAGGAACUGCUCUAUGGAAAAGCAUUAUUAGAAGCAAAUAUGAUCACAAGGGCCCUUCAUAGCUAGAUUCUUCCCAAACUAAAUGGAUUUGGAAGGAACACAGCCCCAAGAAGGUACUUUUUUUUUGUUUGUUAGUUGGCUCAUUGUAGUCUCAACACCACGGACAGGGUUCAAUGGACAAAUUUCAUGUGACAGCUCGAGUCCACCGCUAGUAUAUAUUGUCCUCUUUGGGCUUUCCUUCAUAGUUUUUAAAACGUGUCUGUUAGAGAGAGGUU